UCAGUAUAGGGUGGUUGUGCCCUAUAUAUGGUUCUAAGUGUCUUAGGUCUAGGCUCUCUCAGGCUUAAGGGUUGAAGUUCCAGGAGGCUGGGGUUUUCCUGAAGCUAUUGCUAGGGUUUCUAAUCUCUCUGAGUUUUCUAUCUCUAUCUCCAGUUUGUUCUCUCUCUAUCCAGGUUUUCCCUCUCCCUCUCCAAUCGUAUUGUUCGUCCCCCUCCAAAUGACCACAAAAAGAGGCCUUAUAAGGUUCAAAGCUUCUUGGGAAGGAUCUGCAUGCAUAACAAACAAAUUCCUCAGUCAAAGAUGCACAUUUUGAGAGUCACGUAUUUGGGCGGUACGAGUUGUGUCGCCAAGGUGGCAUGCCUCGUGUCGUACACACCAAUCUUGGUCCAAAUUGAGAUUUUUUUUUUACUUCUGGUGUGUUUCUCGGCCUCUUGUGAAGCUCUUGGAGAAAAUUUGGGUCAAAACUGAUUUUUUUAAUAUUUUUAAUGAUUUUUUUGGUAAAGCAGAGCAAUUGACGGAUGAUUUGGGCGACACGCUCUGUGUCACUUGGGCGGCAACCAAAACUUGUCCAAAUUAACGUUUUUCAAUUUGGGUGUCUUCCUUAGCCUCUUGUGAAGCUCUCACAGAAAAUUUGGGUCAAAACAUAUUUUUUUACUAUUUUUAAUAAUUGUUUUAGUAAAACAGAACAAUUGCAAGAUGACUUGGGCGAUACGCCCUUUGUCACCUGGGUGGAACGCCCCGUGUCGCCUAAACCAAAACUUGUCCAAAUUGAUUUUUUUAAAUUUGGGUGUCUUUCUUAGCCUCUUGUGAAGCCCUCAUUGAAAAUUUGGGUCAAAAUGGAUUUUUUCACUAUUUAUAAUGAGUUUUUUGGUAAAACAAGGUGUUUAUAGAAAUCUAGGUCAAAACAGUGUUUUUACAGGGUUUUGAGAAGGCAAAUUGAUUCUAAAUCACAAGGUAGGUUCUAUGAACUAUGGAUUUGGGAUUACUAGGCUAAGUGUGAUCCUAAAGGUUCAGAAAACCAUAGAAUUUGUCUGAUUUAAAAUGGGGUAUCUACAGUUGCCCCUCUUUGGCACCCCUAUCCUUCGAGGGACAUGUGCAUGGCAAAGAAGUAGAUACUUUGGCAAUCUCUGUCCUUCGAGGGGCAGGUGAACGUCAAAGAUAAUCUCUUCCUGAGGUCAUGUAGUCAGAGGGCAUACAAUUUGUCCCUCCAAGUCAUUGCACUCAUCAAGCUCUCCCACCUAGGGCAUUUUUCCUCCUAGGGUUUUCGGCAUGAGAUGUCAAUGAUUUACACAAGCUUGAAACUUGAGUUGGAUUUUCUGGCCAUGCCACUUAACUUCAUGGGUUUUGCAGUUCAAAAUUUUUUAUCCCUGACAUCUUCUUUGAUCUCCUUAGGGUUUCUUAAGGUUGUCUAUAGGUUUAAGAAAAGAGUGGAUAAUGCAGACAUUGAAAAUUUGUUCCUGAUGUCCCAUGGUCAGAGGGCACACCAACUAUCCCUCCAAGUCAUUGCGCUCAUUGAGCUCACUCACCUAGGGAAUUUUUCUUCCUAUGGUUUUCGGCGUGAGAUGUAGGUGAGUUACGCAAACUUAAAACUCGAAUUGGAUUUUUUGGUCAUGCCACUUAACUUCAGUUUCAAAUCUGCAAACUUGCAUUUCCUGGAUUUUCUUCGGAUUUCUUAAGGCUUUGUAUAGGAAAAAGCUUUCUAUAGGAAGAGAUUUGUCUAACCAAAUUCGAAGAGAGAGACGAGACAGCAACACGGUACUCGGGGCAACGCCAUGAUCAUCAUAUAUGGGUGUCCAAGCUCCUUCGUUUUUUAAAGUAGGGGGAGAUUUAAAAUAGAACCCGGAGCAAGGACAUGCUAUGAUUUUAACAAACAAAUUAAAGUUUUUGAAAACACAAACAUAUACUAAAUAUUUUGAAAAGAGUAAGAUAAUUUCGAAGAACAAGGUUGGUUAGCAGUUUUAGCUCUUGCAACUAUAGAGCCCUCUAAUCCAUUUAAUGUCAUGCAACGAUGGACAGUGUAGUCGGCAAUUAUACUCAUACGACCAUGGAGUUUUUAUUAUUACUAUAUGUUUUUUUUUUCCUUGCUCCCCUUGUUGGGGGGCGGUUUUCUUGUAAUGUAGGUCUUACAGUUUAACCACUUGUGACCCCUUUGGUGGACCAUAUGUGAGCGUAUCGGGUCCUUGCUUGAAUCUUCAGGACAAAAAAUCCUCAAGUAUUUCUUUAUCUUCCAACUCUUGUGUUGGAAACCUCAGCUCUUGUGUUGUAAUUCAAGGAGAGUUUUAUGGAGUUUCGGCAAAACAAAGUCUUGAAAAUAUAGGAUACUGCCCUUGGAUGUUCAGAACCUCUUCAGAUUUUCGAUUUCGUUCCUCCACCACCCACCUUUCGAAGUUUCAGAUGAUCUAGGUCCUUAACAACGUUCCGUCAGGCUAAUGCUUAUUGAUUUUUUUUUUAACACCACUUUGAUUCAGGGGAGGAAAAGUAAAUAUUUAGAGAGAAAAGGCUUUGGAGAUUAGAAGGAAGGAGAGAACUUCCUCUUUUUCAUCGCCCAGCGGUCCCUUUCGGGUGUUUAACCCGGUGGCCUUUUUUUCAACUCUUGGGGUUCCUUUCAGAUAUUUUAGCCCAACGGGUUAUUAUUAUUAUUAUUAUUCCGCUCUAGGGUCCCUUUCCGGUGUUCAGCCCGGUUGCUUUUUUUCUAACGCAUGAGGUUCCUUUCGGACUUCCAGCCCAGUGGAUUGUCUUUAUUUUUGAAGAAGAAAACAGUGAUAAAGGAAGAGGUGGAGGAGGAAGAAGAGUUAAAGGUGUCCCUUUUUUUUUUAGCAUUUCGCCUUAAGAUUAUGUAAGAAUUCGAUCAUCUUUCCCUCCUCCAAGUGACAGGGAGGUUCUAAUAUCAGUCUUCUUCUGAUUUUCCUUGACUCAAGUUGGCAUAAAAAAUCUCUUUGAUAAUGGUUGUUGAAUUUCUGUUGAACUUUUCCUUUAAACUGCUCAACUUGAACCUUGAUUUUGAGACUAAAAAUCAUUGUUAGUUUCCAAAUCUCUUAGCCUUAUGUAUGGAUGAAUUGACUCAUUAGGGUUUUCCCGUUAAUUAAGUACUUCAUGUUACACAUUAGGCGUUAAUGCCUUUUGAAGUGUGAGCAGUGAAUGCUUCAUUUGGUUAUUUGCAAAUGGGUGAGUGAUCACCCAACUCCUUUUUGGUAAUCUUUUUCAUUGUAAAUUUUGAAUUACUUUUCAGAGGUUAAUUCCGUAGUAGGCUCUUGCUCAGUGCUCGAGCUUAGGUGAGACUCUCGCACCAUAAGAGUUAUUAAGUUAGUAUUAGAUGGACUUACGGCAUGUUGGGAGUCAACGAAGAAGGGUUCAGUCUCAUUAGUUGCCCCUAUUGUGUCCUCUUCAUGAGUGGAGUUUAACCCUAUUGAAUAUUUUGACGGGGUUGCCCGUACAGGGCUUUCUACUCCAUUGGGAACUUGUUCUUCACGGGAUGAAUUUUCUUGAUAUGGUGGUGCUCCGGUUAUCGGAGUUGUGCUCAUGUCGUUAAUGACUUUUAGAGAGCCUGCCUCUUGAGUAGGUAACAUGGUCAGAUUUUCAACAUCUAAUUCUCGAUCUCAGAUUGGUGGAUCAUUCAAGAACUCUUGUGAAGAUGGCCCAGAUGGGCCCCUUAGAAUUUUUAAAGAUUUGAGCUCUAUCAACUUUAACGAAGAUGCCAAAUCUUUGGGAACAGUCAAAUUUGGGCUCUUUGCUUCUCCAUCAUCUAUAACUGGGUUCACCUCGAGAGGUGACUCCGUUAAAUCUUUUAAGCUUGGCUCCUCAUCCCAUGUAGGUGGGUUGGCGAGGAAGUCUGGUGAAGGUGGCCCAGGUGGGCCAUUAGAAUUUCCAAAGGUUCGACCUCUUUUGAUCUUUCAAGUGUUGGCCCCUUAUUUGGAAGCGUAAUGGGAGACUUUGGGUGUUGACCCCUUAUUUGGAAGAUGAUCCCUUCUCAUUGAUUUGGAUCACAUCAAUUUCUGAAACAUUGUCCUCAUCAUAUUGAUCCCACUUAGGUGGGUCGUCAAGGUUUUGAGGUGAAGGGCUUCCUUUUAGCACUAGCUCAUUUGCCCCCUCACGAGUGAUUGUGCCAAGAUUAAGGUUUUUCUUGUCAUCAUAGGCUUGGAAAUCCAUAGCUUCAAAACCUUGGUUGAGCUUAGCCUAAGUUCAUAUUGCUCUUGCGAGUUUGAUUCAUUGUCACACACAUAUGAACCAUUUAUUAUAUUAACUUGAAAGUACGGGUUGAAGGGUCCAUAUGCCCUAGUGUGACUCUUGAUGAUGGGGAUUUCUUGUGUCAUUUUUGUGAGUGUAUCUUGGAGUGAAAUCCCAUAUGCGAUACCCCUUUCUUCUCCCCCUUCUUCAUUAUGGGCUUGGAGCUAAGGUCAUCCUCACUGCUUUGAUCUUGAGUAUCAUUAGUUGUUAACUCCUGGGUAAGGUUAUGCUCAUUUUGUUCUUCAUCUACAGGACUUUCCAGUUGAUUUCUUCUUAUGCUCCAAGUCCUUUGUGGAUGCUCUUCGGGUUUGGGCAGCAGCUUGUGAUUCUCCUAAGUUAAUCAGGUUGACAUCAGAAUUGUUUGUGGAAGCAUCUGGAGCUUCUGGUUUUUCUAUGUUAUCAGCCUCUUUUUGUUUGACACUUAUCGUGCCAUUAUCAAUGAGCUCCUGAACUCUAUGUCUAAAAGCUCGACAUUCCUUCAUGCUAUGGACAUAGUUUGAUGCCAAUCGUAUAAUUGAGAUGUAUCGCCUCCAUGGAAAGGAGGAAUCUUGGCUCCUGUCGGUAAUUAUAUGAGCCUUGCCUUAAGCAACUUCUUCAUGACAUCGGUCAUAGACUCAUUAAUGGGAGUGAAUUCCCUUGGUGUAGAAGUUUGCAUUCUCCAUGUGAUAGAAUGAAUUUUAAUCUUUCCCUAUGAAUGGUUUGUAGAAGGGUUGCUUUUCUUGAUCAUAUUCACCUCCCCUUCUUGGGAGGGUUUUUCGGCUGCGGUUUUAUUUUCCUUAGCUUGCUUAUAUCGUGAUACUCUUUCAAGCAUAUCAUCAAAUGAGUAAGGGACUGCCCCCACACUGAAGAACGUGACAUAUUCUAGAGUCAUGUCCUCAAUGUUGUGCUUACCCUCACAGCUUUAGGGAGUGGAGUUUUAAUGACUCGCAUAACGGCCUCUCUGAAUCUGGUUAUAAACAAGGAAGGAGACUCGGCCAACUUCUGUUUUGUGGAAAUUAACUCACCAAGGGUGACGGGUCUUGGCCUUCCUCCGCUAUAGCGGGAGGAGUUGCUUGAGGGUUAUCUUUCAUGAUUCUUCGGUACCACAUCAAAGGUUCUUCUAAUAAGUUAUGCGAGAUUAUGACCUUAAGUUGGUUGGGUCGGUCUCGCAUUGUGUAGACCAUAAAUAAGUAGGCGUUGAUGCUGAAAAUCUGUUUAUGAAAUGUGGUAUCACAAACCCCACUGGUAGAUCUUCUAGGUUUCCUAGAAUUUCUUGUACAUAAGCUCAUAUUCUCAUUUUCUCUAAAGAGACUUGAAGGUGUUUUAUACGAGCGAAUUGAGCCAUCAUUGUAGCUGUGAACUGGCUCGGUUGUAUGGUCUGUUGAAUCUGAUUUUGUGGUAUGUGGCUCGUAUGAACUGGCUAUUGGGCCCAUGUAGCGGAUUGUCCCAAGAACUGAGCCUGAAGUAUGUGUUGAACUUGAUGUGCCGGUUGUCGGCUUGUAGGCUCACCCUAGUUGAAUUGAGUCAGAGCAUACUCAAUACUCGGAGGUUGCACAACUUGCCCAUAUAAGGAGCUUUGCAGGAUUGGAUCACCGCUUAACUUGGGUGAACAACUCAAGUUACUAUGGAGACUAGAACUUUGACCUUGGGCGGCUAGGUCUACCUGACCCUGACCUUCGUUGGAUGAUCUAUCUCUAGGGCUAGGGUAUUCUCUUGCCCCAACACUUGACUGAAAGAGUGAAGGGAUGUCAUAACUACUGCCAGAAGGAGUCUACCCUCUAGGUAGUCUUGGGCUCAAGUGAUGAUUAGAACUAGACCCAUAGCCCGUAGUGGAUUGGAUUGGCAGACUAACAACUCUAGGAUUAUCUUAGUUUGAGGUACAAUGUUGGACUUGGCCUAUAACUUGAGUUUCUGACCUGACUUUCUAGAACUGAGUGCGUUGGAUUGUGUAUCCUCUAUUGAUGAGGUCUUGAAAGUAAGCAUGCACUUUAGGAUUGUCUUUACAUCAAGUUAGAUCAAAACCCUGAUCUUUACUAUUAAUAGGUUGCUGGGGUAGACUUUCUCUAGUGGUAUGUGAACUCACUCACCCACUAACUGGUUGAUUGCCAAGGUUGGAAUGUUGGACUGUUAUAUGACCAUCGGGGUUCAUACGACUGAGAUCGGCUGACUCAGAGAUUUGGGUCGGGGCGUUAUUCUUGUUGUGCCGACUGGAUUUGAGGUUAACCCCUAUGUCUUAGAGGAUUGCCCUCGGCCUGGCCCCUCGACUAUUCAGGGUAUUACACACCUUAUUAACCAGUUGGCUCGUGACUUCUAAAGGGUGGCCUUGAACGCGGCUUGGAUGGCUAGGUUUGGUUCUAUACGGGUUGAAAGUCGGCUCACUAGCACUAGUGCUUUGGAUGAUUUGCGAGGGAGCACUGUGACGGUACCUCUUAGACUGACUACGUUCUCUGGAUCUAGACUGGGCAGGGGCCAUAGGGUUGGACUUUGCUCUGCCAUGGGUCAUAAUUCCUAGACUUGAUGAGAUCUAGACUUAAGGCCUCAUGGUAGACCUACUAUGUCUCUAGGGACAAAACCCUAACUAAGAUCUAUGCUAGGACUAGACUGGAUGAAAUCUAUUAGACUCCAUGCUUUUUAGUUUGAAGUAUGAACUAGGGUAAGCCUAGUCUAACGCUAGAGGAAACUCUAAGCUUAGACUUAUGUUAUAACCUAGACCUAGACUAGAUGGGUACGAGUCUCGACUCAGACAAAUAGUGGGUCUGGGAUUGGACCUGGGUGUGAGUUUUGUUCGGACCUAGACUGAGCCAAGUGUAAGCUAAGCCUUGAACCAAGAGGGUUGCGAUAAUUAGACCAGGUGUGGACCCGGAAAGGAUCAAAGUUGGUUUAGGUAUGAGCCCUUAGCUCUGACCAAAAGGGGGGCCUAGGUUCGAACCUGGGUGUGAUCCUGGUUCGGACUUGGGCUAAGCUAGUUACAAGCCUGAACUUGGACCCAAAGAGUUUUGAUGAUCAGACUAGGUGUGGACCCGGACUGGAUCCAGGAUGAACUAAGAACGAGCCUUCCGCUCGGACCAAGAGGGGGCCUAGGUUCAGAGACUUUUGAUGAUCAGACCUGAUAUGGGCCCGAACAUGAUCAGAUGAGCCAGGAACGAGCCUUCUGCUCGGACCCAAAGGGGGUCUGAGUUCGGACCAAGGUGAAACCUGGUUCGGACCUGAGCUAAGCUGGACUUGGACCCAGAGAGUUCAGCUCAAACUAAAAGCAGGUCUAGACUGUGAUCUAAGAUUAACCAACAAAAAAAAGCAAGCAAGCACAUAAAAACUUUUGACCUAGUAUUAUAGGUAGGCUUGACUUGAGAGUGGGUUCAUAACUAUUGAAAUGCGACUAGGCUGAUAUAGGUCCCCACAUAGGUCCUGGCCUCCUGGUAUAGGAUGUUCACUAGGUCCUACAAUACGUGGAGUUGCUUGGAGGCAAAAUAUUAUGGAGGGGUGGUCACAGUUAAAGUUCGCAAAUCCCAAUCGCCUUGACUCUCAAAGCUAGGUUCCCUUAAUGCCGUUAACGUGGAUUUUGGGGGUUUUUGAAAUAUUUGUUUGCUAGUUUCUAGGGCAAUCCCGUUCCGAUGUGUGCUGGAGUGUGUAAAGAAGCACACAAUUAAAAUAAAGUCAAGCACACAAUGCACACAAAACAAGAAAGGAAAUAAGUGAGCGAUUGACACUGAUCGUGCUUAGCGAUGUGCGCUUAAGGCCAAACUUGCUUGAAGCACAGUAUAGAUGGAGGGGUAAGCAACCCCUAAGAAGGUAAAGUCAGAACUAUGAGACCAGUCACGGUCUGUGCUAAGGCGAGCGCGGUCCGAGUUGAGGGUGACUCAAACGGGAAACGGUUUAGGGAGGGUGCAAGCAGCCCUCGAUGUAUAUUUAUUUUUUUUAUUUUUAAUUUUUAAUUUAGUUUUUAACCUUGAUGAAAUACAGUUAAACUAAGUAUGGUGAAAGCAGGGAAAACAUGGUAUCAGUCAAACGUAACAAACUAAAAUAAAAUAAAAGAGUCAGAAACAUCACAGACCUAUCUAAAGCAAAAUAUUUUUUUUAUAUUUAAAAAAAUUAUUUUAAGUCAAAAAUUUGUCAACAGGGAGUUAAAAGUCCCUGAAAUGGGCCUGUGGGGUCCCAGAAUAUUUCUAUUACACUUGUAGUUGGGCGACACGGGUGGUGUCAUCCAAGCGGCACUAAUAAUGCCGCCCUUGCAGGAUAGACGAACCUACGAGUGUCGCCCAAAAAAAUUAUUAUUUUUUAUAUUUUUAUCUUGUUAAUCUUGAUGAAAUAAGACUACUUUAAACUUGAAAGAAGUAUGGAAAAAAAAAUUUAUUUAUGAUGAAAUAAAUUAAAACAGAGUAAAGUAAAACAAUGUAGACAGAACAGUAAACUAUUUUUUUGGUAUUUUUAAAAUUUUUAUUUUGCUAUGAAAUUUUGUGGACAGUCACAAGAGAGUCCCAAGACCCAGCCUGCAAAAUUUCAAAAAAUUAUGACUUGGGCGACGGGGGGACACCAGAGGGCGUGUCGCCCGACCUGGGUCCUUAUCACAACCAGGUUUUGGACUGAAAACAGUGAAACUAGUAAACAAAAAUCGUAAUUUGGUGCUUGGAUCAAGCUCGAAAUGCCCCACGGUGGGUGCCAAACUGCUUAUAGCGCAAAAUCAAACAGAUCUUCAUCGAAAGAUCUCUUGGAUCUUGACACCUUAAACUGAUAAAAAUAACGUGGUAGAGAAGGUGGGACAAAUCGAAUUCAGAUUUGAGGCCAGAUCUCCCUGAAAAUGAGCAGAUCUACUCUCAGAUCUGUGGCAGGGCCAUCAUGAUCCAAGACAUUACAAAAUAUGAAUUUUAAGUAAACAAACAGAUCAAAAUAAAAUGAAAACAAUAAAAUCAAAAGAGAUAAAAUGGAAGAAAAUGAUACCGAAUUGGGCCGGAUGGUUCUGGAUUCCUGAGCCGUCUAGGGCUCGCUCGUAUCAGAACCGAUCCUCUUUUGUCUCUCUGAUCCGGAUAUUAGCCAGCAAGUCUUUUCAGUAUAGGGUGAUUGUACCCUAUAGAUGGUUCUAGAUGUCCUAGGUCUAGGCUCUUUCAGGUUUAAGGGUUAAAGUUCCAGGAGGCGGAGGGUUUCCUGAAGCAAUCACUAGGGUUUCCAAUCUCUCUGAGGUUUCUAUUUU
rnacentral:lncRNA from 1 species